UACGAAGGGGGCAAGCGUUGUUCGGAAUUACUGGGCGUAAAGGGCGCGUAGGCGGCUUAUCAAGUCAGGCGUGAAAUUCCCGGGCUCAACCUGGGGGCUGCGCUUGAUACUGAUGAGCUUGAAUGCGGGAGAGGAUAGUGGAAUUCCCAGUGUAGAGGUGAAAUUCGUAGAUAUUAGGAAGAACACCAGUGGCGAAGGCGGCUCACUGGUCCGGUACUGACGCUGAGGUGCGAAAGCGUGGGGAGCAAACAGG
rnacentral:rRNA from 1 species